UCAUCAUUUCACCAUUGCUGAGUUUUGUAGUAUUUACUCCGUAGUCUGUUUGGUUACUGUUCCCACUCAAGGUUUCCCUGAUGUUUUCUUGUUUUGUUUUUGAAUUGACUACAUGUGUAUGAUCUUCUGCUUGUUUUAUGGAUUAUGUUUUGUGGAUUACCCCUGAUUUGGAUUACCUUUAAUAAAGGAUUGCAUUUGGAUCCACCACCUUGUCUUGCUUUCACCAUAACAGCGUGAACCUUUGCUGGGCCUGAACAAAAUUGCUAUGUGAUUAAAUAUGACCGGGCCAAAACGGACAUGGCAGCAGGUCAAUAUCAAAUACAAGAACAUUCUGCAGAAUGUGAAAAAGGAUACCCAGAGACAAGGCAUGGGUGGUGGGUCACCAAAAGCUGACCUCACCCCAGCAGAGGCCAGCUUUGGAGCUAAAUAAAGGCAGGCCUGUUGGAGGGGAUCCCUGGGGGAAAAGAGACAAGCAUAGGUCCCUCCCAAGAUGCCACCCGCUUCAUACAAGUGUCUGGCAGCACUGUGUUACUGUUAAAGCCACCAGCACGAGCACCAGACGAUGCUGAUCCACAUUAAUGUUCAGGUGAACAUAACUUUUUGAUCUUUUCCAUUGAACACUGACAAAAUGGCCUGGCUCAGUCCAUGACUCCAGAAUCUUUCGGACCUCUGAAAUCUAUCAGCACCUAUCACAAGGUGAAUUCUCUGGUGUGUUGCUGGGAGACAGGGGGUAUGGCUACCAGCCUUUUUUCCUGAAACCUUUCACAGACCCCCAGGAAGCACAGCAGGCCUACAACUAUGCCCAUGCUAGGGCCAGAGUUGAAAUGACCUUUGGCCUCCUGAAGGCACGCUCUCACUGCUUUCACAAAUUAAGGGUCAGCCCUGUGAGGGCAUGUGACAUUACUGUGGUUUGUGGUGUCCUCCACAAUGUGGCCUGCCUGAGGAAGGAGAGGGCACCCAGAGUGCCGCCAGCCCUGGACUGGGACAAUCCGGAAAUCUUCCCUGAUGACGACAGUGGUCGGCUGCUGAGGGACCAAUAUGUGUUGAAUUAUUUUAGUUAGUAUGUAUGCUUUCAAUUUUGUUAGUUUUUUUAUUGAUUUGGCCUCUUUUGAUGUUUGUGCUGUAUACUGUGUGAAUACUGUUUGUAAUACAAGCUUGCAGGGAGGCAUUAUUUAAUUGUCUUGUUUUCAGUUGUCUGAAAUUGUCUGUUCAGUUAAUGUGUUUGGAUUUGUCCUGCAUUUAUUUCAGUGUGCAGACAUGCAGGGUGUGUUAUAUACAGACCUUUGAAUGUGUAUUUAUCCUUUGGUUGUAUAAUAUGCUUUGAUUCUGUGCUUUCCAUCUUGUAGAGUCAAUGUGUGACUUCAGUUUCGAAAGGAGCUGAUGGUUUACCUGCUUUGUUUUGUCCUUAUUCAAUAAAGAAACAUAAUGUUACACUUUGUGCUUUUAUAUUUAUAUGAAAUGUGUAUUUUAUACGACAGAGUAUAAGGGCCACACCGAGGAAAGGAGAAAGUCAUACAUUUGAGGCUGGUUCUUUCUGUGGAAAGAUGCAUAUUGUUUUUACAGUCCUGAUACUUAUAACAAUUUGAUGCUGAUGUGCCAAAAGAUGUCCUUGUUUCUGAAACCAUACUGAAGUACAAUUCCACGAAAUGCCCCACAACUGUUAUUGUAACAACUGUCCUCCUCUAAAACAACAAGUUACAAUAUUACGACUUCAUUCUCUGUCUGUUUUUUUUCUCUGUGGCCCAAAUGUUCUAUCAUUUUAUAUAUAGCCUUAUAGUCUAUUGGAAACUGUAAAUUAUCUAAUGAUAGCAACAUCAUCUAAAAAUCAUAAUUUAUCCAAAAUUAUUAAAAUUAAUGAUCACAAACAUUUAAUAAAAUUACAGUGGGUAUAGUUAUAUGUGAUAACAAUGUAUAUUGGGCAGUGAAAUAAUUAUUGGUUUCCGUUUGUGGUGACUGCUGACUGACAUAAAGGAUGAGAUUAAAUAGAUCCUGGAAUUUAGCCUGGUCCGGAGCAGGCUAACUCCACAGAAUAGAUCUCCAUGGUAAUUUAUACCAUAACAUAUCCUCCUGCCCCCUAUCCAGCUUUAGUGCAACCAGAUCAUUGAUCAAUUGAGCUAGUAUCACCAAGAUAUCCCAGCUUAAUCCCUUAUCCUAGUUUUGUGCAAUAGGCCCCAGUUUGUGAUGAACACAGUGUUAUGAGACUUUUGCCAUUAAUAUGUUUUUAAGCAACUGAAAAAAGCACAAAUGUCAG